rnacentral:rRNA from 1 species
CUACGUGCCAGCAGCCGCGGUAAUACGGAAGGUCCAGGCGUUAUCCGGAUUUAUUGGGUUUAAAGGGAGCGUAGGCGGAUUGUUAAGUCAGCGGUUAAAGGGUGUGGCUCAACCAUGCAUUGCCGUUGAAACUGGCGAUCUUGAGUGCAGACAGGGAUGCCGGAAUUCGUGGUGUAGCGGUGAAAUGCUUAGAUAUCACGAAGAACUCCGAUCGCGAAGGCAGGUGUCCGGGCUGCAACUGACGCUGAGGCUCGAAAGUGUGGGUAUCAAACAGGAUUAGAUACCCUGGUAGUCCACACAGUAAACGAUGUAUACCCGCGGUUUGCGAUAGAUUGUAAGCCGCCAAGCGAAAGCAUUAAGUAUACCACCUGGGGAGUACGCCGGCAACGGUGAAACUCAAAGGAAUUGACGGGGGCCCGCACAAGCGGAGGAACAGGUGGUUUAAUUCGAUGAUACGCGAGGAACCUUACCCGGGCUUGAACUAACGGUGACGAAUCUAGAGAUAG